UACAGAGGUCUCAAGCGUUGUUCGGAUUCAUUGGGCGUAAAGGGUGUGUAGGUGGCGCCGUAAGUCGGGUGUGAAAUUUCGGAGCUUAACUCCGAAACUGCAUUCGAUACUGCGGUGCUUGAGGACUGGAGAGGAGACUGGAAUUCAUGGUGUAGCAGUGAAAUGCGUAGAGAUCAUGAGGAAGACCAGUGGCGAAGGCGGGCUCUGGACAGUUCCUGACACUGAGACACGAAGGCCAGGGGAGCAAACGGG
rnacentral:rRNA from 1 species